UCCUUGGUCGCGGUGCCGUCCAUCCGGAGCGCUUCCUCCCUCGCCCGAGGCUGGGGGCGGGGGCCGUGGGAGCGGAACCCGGGCUCUCUGGGACCCGCUCGCUUUCCUUCCGACCGGCUUUAUUUGAGUUUUCAGUGAAUGCGGGGAAUCACAGUGACUUGCGUUUCCUUAUCACUUAGGCAAAUAGGUCUGUGCAGAAGCGGAGCGCAAGGUAGCUUCCCGCGUGCGGGCGGCGGCGGGGAGAGGGACGCCGCCUGGACGGACGGGUCUUCUUUGUGGACAUCCGUCUGGGGUUGGGGAGCGGCAUGGCCUUUGGACUCACACCGUCUCCGCUCGGCCGCUGUUGGUUGUUGACUUUGGGCAAAUAACUUAACAUCUCUAAAGUCUGUUCCCUACCCCUGGAAGGGGGCCGAAGCUGGCCGUGCCCCGAGAAGCCGUUUCAUUUCGCAGACAUGGUCUGCACACGGCAGGAUUUAAUCAAGGCCGUACUGCAGCCACCUCUUGACUCACCUCUUUGUGGCAGGAAAGUUGCCCAAUUAACGAUGAACUCAAGUGACUAAGGAUGGGCUGGUGUACACACAGGCUCUGAAAUCUGCUCUGCCGCGAGAUCUUGGGCAUAGCAGUGAUCAGUGAAGAAGAAAGCCCAGGUGUGGGAAAACUACUCCAACCAAGAAAGUAACACACAGGCAAGACACAUCUAAGUUAGUAAAAGGUCAGUUGCACCAGUCCUCACAUAAGAGAAUACUCAAGAGAAAAGGAAAUUCAGAUCCUAAGGGUUAAACUCCAAAGGUGGACAACUGCUUGCAUUUACUGACAAGCUGACCAUGAAUUCCAGGUAAGGUUGAAAUUUUUCUUCUUUCUUGGUUGGUCUCUCUCAGCAUAUAUUCCAUUAUGUAUUGAAAAUUGUUAGAACCACAGACUCUCAGAGGCCAUCCAACUGAACUGACUGACUACUGAUCUGCACUGUUACUUUCAUAAUUUAAAGGUUAAUAGUCUCUCACAAGCAUCUUUUUUCUCUGUAAAAUGUAACCUUAAAAGUUUUGCUGAUAUGUGGAUUUGAUCCCUGUAGGCACAUACCAUUCAUUUUAAAAGCGUAAACAUGUAGAAAGAGGACCCAGUAUGUACACGCUCAGCACCAAUUUAGCGGUGUGUAUACUCUGCUCUUUGCUAUACCCUAGAUGACCUGGAUAUUUCUAGUGUACUCUGGACAUAUUACCUAGUCUGUCAAUAUUGUCCUUCAAAUUGAUAGAAAGCAGGGACUGGGUGAUGUUCUUGCAAUUAAUUCUACACAGAGAUGCAUACAGAUGACGAAUGAAGCCUCCUGUGGUGACCUGCCAGUGUUCUCCGAGGACUAAAUGCUGAGCCUCAGAAACUAGAGCAGCCAUCCUUUUGUCAACAGAUCUCCAAGGGCCUCAGGACAGGGGAUAAGAGAUAUUCAUCUCUGCCCAAUUUUACUGGAUUUCAGCCCUUUAUGUUGCUGCCAAGAUGAGUCUUCUGAGUCCUGACCUUUUCCCCCUGGACAACUUUACCAUUUUGUAUAUCUCAAUAAACAGUUUGGUUCUUACCUGGGAAUAGCUAUCCUAGAUAAGCAAAAUUAUCA